UUGAGUUGACUCAGCAUGUUUUCAAUUGUGCUUGGGUCAGGAAGCUAUUAGAUUCUUUAUGAAUUUCUUGUGGUUUUCUAACUAGAGAUUGGGUGUAAGACUGGCUAUUGGCUUGUAUUUCAGCAUCACAUAUGGCCUACAAGAAGCUUGGAGUGCUCAUGAUUGGGUAACUUUCACAUGCUUUUAUUUGUUCACUUUUUAUCUUAAAAGAUUCGAUUGGUUACAUGUGUGGACCCAUGCAUGCAUGUGGGAGGCAUGAUCUUCAGGAAGAGUUACGCCCAUUUUUCUCAUUGCCAAAAGUUAUGGAUGGCCUUUUCAGUCUUGCCAAGAUGCUUUUCGAUAUCAACAUUGAAUCAGCUGAUGGCCUAGCCCCGGAUGUACAAUGAGGCGAUCUCAUAUUAUGAGAAGGCACUUGCCCCUUCGACCAUAAGUUUAAGCACCUAUGCAGGUCUGGCGUACACUCAUCAUUUGCAGUGGCUAGAGCAAGCUGCAGACCCAUGCCAGGAAGUAGUUAUAAUAUCAUUACUUGUUGUAAGAUAUACCAUGCUCGAGAUCAGAUUUCAUAUGCAACAGAUGGGCCAGGCAACAGGCUUUUUUCAUUUUUGUUCUGGUGUUAUUCAUAAAAUGCACUUAGUUCCCUUUGAUUAGCCAAUACUGAAACUUUAACAAAUAGAUUUGUUAGCAUUUUUUGCCAUCUCCGUAAAGCUAUAAUUUAAAGUGCUACCCUUUAUUGUAGCUUAUUUUGUAAAUUUGAUUUUGCAAUGAAACAUCUACGAGCACAUUAUUUUCUCUGUUUUUCUUUGGAUUAAUCUCUAUUUUGAUGGAAUGUAAUAAACUUCUGUUAA